GCCUACGGGGCGCAGCAGCGGGGAAUAUUGGGCAAUGGGCGCAAGCCUGACCCAGCAACGCCGCGUGAAGGAAGAAGGCUUUCGGGUUGUAAACUUCUUUUAAGAGGGAAGAGCAGAAGACGGUACCUCUUGAAUAGGCCACGGCUAACUACGUGCCAGCAGCCGCGGUAAUACGUAGGUGGCAAGCGUUGUCCGGAUUUACUGGGUGUAAAGGGCGUGCAGCCGGGAAGACAAGUCAGAUGUGAAAUCCCGCGGCUCAACCGCGGAACUGCAUUUGAAACUGGGUGUCUUGAGGGCAGGAGAGG
rnacentral:rRNA from 1 species